AAUAUUUGCUUUCGUUGAUAAAUAUCUUUGGUUGAUUUUGGUUGAACACAAAGAGUUUAAUACUGAAAUUUUUUCUUCAAAACGGUCUUCUUUCAAAGUAAAAAAAAGAGAAAGUCUUUUUAAAAGUCGCAUAACGGAAACAGUGUUUUUUUUUUAAAUAGACGGUGCUUUGAUUAACAGGCACUGGUUGAGCAAGAAAAACAUGGACUACUGCUUUGUCAUUCGUUUAGUGAUGAUUAAUUGUUAUUGGAAUGAGCGUCAUACAGUUUAAGGACAUGACUAUGUGUAUUUAAACCGCUACCGUUCUUAUGCAAGAGAAAAUAUAAUCCAACCAAAAAUAACCAACAGGAUAGGAAGCAAGUACCUACUCCUAUAACGCAAAAAAAGAAAAAGAAAACAACAGUUGUUUUAGAAAGAAAAGAUUUUGAAUGUUUUU